UGUUUACACCUUUAAGAAGGGAGAGCCUAUCAUCCUCCCCCACAGACACAUAUAUAAGACAAUGAUCUCACUCCCUAAUAGAAAACGCACAGAGAAACGCAAGAAAACUUGGAUUCAAUUAUCUAAGACGCAUGUUGAAAAAGAAACAUAAAAGAACUAUAUGAUAUGAUAUAGACUUCCAACAGAUUUAUAGUCCUCAAAAAACCGAGCUGAAGAAGGCGUUUACUCCGAAACAGGGCCCUGUCCUGGUCACCACUACUGAGUCGUACAUCUGAUUCAUACUCCGGAUACUCCU